GACAGAGGGUGCAAACGUUGUUCGGAAUUACUGGGCGUAAAGCGCGUGUAGGCGGCCAUCUAAGUCGGGCGUGAAAUCCCACGGCUCAACCGUGGAAGUGCACUCGAAACUGGAUGGCUAGAGUCCUGGAGAGGAAGGUGGAAUGCUUGGUGUAGAGGUGAAAUUCGUAGAUAUUGGGAAGAACACCGGUGGCGAAGGCGGCUAUCUGGACCGACAUUGACGCUGAGGCGCGAAAGCGUGGGGAGCGAACAGG
rnacentral:rRNA from 1 species